GACGAACGCUGGCGGCGGGCUUAACACAUGCAAGUCGAACGGAAAGGCCCUGCUUUUGUGGGGUGCUCGAGUGGCGAACGGGUGAGUAACACGUGAGUAACCUACCCUUGGCUUGGGGAUAACUUCAGGAAACUGGGGCUAAUACCGGAUAGUAGCGCCGGCUGCAUGGUGGGGGGGGGAAAGGUUCGGCGGUUGGGGAUGGACGCGCGGCUUAUCAGCUUGUUGGGGGGGGAGUGGCUUACCAAGGCUUUGACGGGUAGCCGGCCUGAGAGGGUGACCGGCCACAUUGGGACUGCGAUACGGACCAGACUCCUACGGGAGGCAGCAGUGGGGAAUAUUGCACAAUGGGCGGAAGCCUGAUGCAGCAACGCCGCGUGCGGGAUGACGGCCUUCGGGUUGUAAACCGCUUUCGCCUGUGACGAAGCGUGAGUGACGGUAAUGGGUAAAGAAGCACCGGCUAACUACGUG
rnacentral:rRNA from 1 species